rnacentral:tRNA from 1 species
ACCUGGGUGGCUCAGUCGGUUGAGUGUCUGACUUAGGCUCAGGUCAUGAUCUCACAGUUUGUGGGUUUGAGCCCCAUGUCAGGCU